GGUGAGAUGGCCGAGUGGUCUAAGGCGCUAGAUUUAGGCAAUUCCUGCUAAUCUCUAGUCAUUCGUGGCGUGGGUUCAAAUCCCACUCUCAUCA